rnacentral:tRNA from 1 species
GGCCCGGUCGCCUAGUGGUCCAGGGCGCUUCCCUUUCAAGGAAGAGGUCAGGGGUUCGAAUCCCCUCCGGGCUACAA